rnacentral:rRNA from 1 species
ACUCAAAUGAAUAGACGGGGGCCCGCACAAGCGGAGGAGCAUGUGGUUUAAUUCGAUGAUACGCGAGGAACCUUACCAGGGCUUGAAAGACAGUGGACAGGCGUCGAAAGGCGUCCUUCCUUCGGGACUGCUGUCUAGGUGCUGCAUGGCUGUCGUCAGCUCGUGCCGUGAGGUGUCGGGUUAAGUCCCAUAACGAGCGCAACCCCUAUCACUAGUUGCCAACAGGUAAUGCUGGGGACUCUAGUGAAACUGCCCGCGUAAGCGGUGAGGAAGGUGGGGAUGACGUCAAGUCAGCACGGCCCUUACGUCCUGGGCUACACACGUGCUACAAUGGUAGGUACAGAGGGCAGCUACACCGCGAGGUGAUGCAAAUCUCCAAAACCUAUCUCAGUUCGGAUCGAAGUCUGCAACUCGACUUCGUGAAGCUGGAUUCGCUAGUAAUCGCGUAUCAGCAAUGACGCGGUGAAUACGUUCCCGGGCCUUGUACACACCGCCCGU